UACGGAGGGGGCUAGCGUUGUUCGGAAUUACUGGGCGUAAAGGGCGUGUAGGCGGCGGAUCAAGUCAGGCGUGAAAGCCCCGGGCUCAACCUGGGAGGUGCGCUUGAUACUGGCCUGCUUGAGUCCGGGAGAGGCGAGUGGAAUAUCCAGUGUAGAGGUGAAAUUCGUAGAUAUUGGAUGGAACACCAGUGGCGAAGGCGGCUCGCUGGACCGGUACUGACGCUGAGGCGCGAAAGCGUGGGGAGCAAACAGG
rnacentral:rRNA from 1 species